CUGAGGGUUUAAGCAGACAUUGCUUUAAUAAAUUUCAGAGAAAGUUUUGGUUUUAGUAGCUAAUGCCUUUGUUGUGUGGGUGGGUGUGUUAGUUCAAGCCUUUUAAUAAUUGUAUUGUUCAAGCUGAGGGAGAUCAAAGUACCUUUACUUGUGGGAGCACAGUUAUGUCUUCUGGGUAGCUAAUGUGACAAAUGCAGGGUUAGGAAGAAUGUGCUAAUGGAGUGGACUACAUUAAUCUAUAGAGAAGAGGACUUUACCUGUGGAUGAUGUGGUAGAACGAUCAGGUGAAGCUGAAAUCUGUGGAAGUGUGAAGAAAGAGUGAAUGUGACAGAAGUGAGACUGAGGUGCAAUUAGAUAUUCUUCUUGGAGAACAUAUAUGGAGAACCUAUAUGCAGGUGGUUACUUCAGACAAUCUGUUCAGAGAUGUGUAUAAAUCACAGCACAGAAGUGGAUCAUGAAUAGCGAAGUGUUACAGAUCAUGGCACUGGCUAUUUCUCAUUUCCAAAUGGAACAAUGUGCCUAUGUAUAUGGAAACUAAUGGAGAAACUCUUCGCCUGGGAUCCCUUUGACUGCUGUUUGGAGGACAGAUUUUGAAUCUCUAAUCUUUUCUGCAUGUCAGAUUUAUGCCAAUGUAAAUCCCUUGACUUCAGUGGGCGUUUUUCAUUCAUUUCCUGGCCUCCACUGGAAAGAGAACGGUUUCUUAAGGUUUUCACACAUGGACUACAUUAAGGGGUCACGUUCAGAUGGUACUCUUCUGGCGUUUCCAUCAGCCAGGGGUCAAUAAAGUGCUAUCUGUGUUAAGAAUAUAGGGUAGGGCAUGUGUUUAGUCAGCUCCAAAUUUCCCAUCUGUCAGACAUGAGAAAUUCAGUGUCUGUUUGUGCAUGCCUGCCUGUUUAGGGUCCAAGAAUCAGUGUGGCAGGGGUCAUUUCGAAGGGCUGUGCUGGUGCAGUCCUCUGGUAUGCCUCCCAAGUAACCCUGUGCGUGCCUCGUUCCCAUGUAGCGGUGUUUAUUGCUCACUGAUGUUUAUGGUCCUGAUUUUGUGAGGCCUGUGAUAGAAGGUGACCUCUUCAGAGGCAUACAUACGGGAGAGACCUGCUUUCACAAUGUUUUAGAGCCUCCCUUCUCUCCUCCAACUUUCUGCUAGAUACAUAGAAAACAAUUAAUUUUGCCAUAGCUCAAUUUUUUAAAUAAA